GGAAACCCAGAGCCUUCCACACCAGAGCUACCUCCUACAGCUAUUGCUACAGGGACAGAGACACCAGCCCAGCAUGUGCUGUGGGGUGGGCAGCUCCUGGGGAGGAAGCUCUGUGCUUUCGUAGGCAUGGUACUUUCAACAUCUUUCCUCUCCUGCAAAAGUAUCUGAACAGGGUUGCUGCCUCCCUGCUCCCCUCUCAGAGCCACACAGAGUUUUAAGCUACUUGUGCUACCAACAGAAACCAAAGCUGAGGGCGUGGCACGCACAGAGGAAAGGGAAAAGGCUCACUUUCAAUGAUAGCUCUCUGUAGUGUCUGGAUCUGGUUCUGGAAAAUGGACUGCAAGAGUUGAGGGAGAACACCUUAAAAAAAGAGAGAUCUGCUGAUAGUCAUCGCCACUUCCUGACUUAACGGCAAGCCCUGCAAUGGAGACCCAUUCCACUUCUUCACUAGGCAACAAACAUCCCACAUCACCAACCCUUUUGUACGAUGCAUCCCCCUUUUCACAAGUCAAC